rnacentral:tRNA from 1 species
GGAGUUGCAGCUCAGUGGAAGAGCCUCUGCUUUGCAUGCAGAAGGUCCCAGGUUCAAUCCCUGCCAUCUCCA